rnacentral:lncRNA from 1 species
CUCCCAGCUCACUCCUCCUGUGAAGAGAAGCCCUUUACUCCGUCCUCCUCAGGGAACCCUACAGAAAGCUUCCCACCUGCAGUACCUUUGUGCACCAGCAUGCUUCAAAUGGGUGUCAGGUGGGUGGAGACUUUGACCCCCCUCAGCCCCGGAGAGCCUGAAGCUCCGGGUCCCCGCCUCCACGGUGGGCAGCUUCUCUUGUUUGCCUGGGUGCGCCAUCCCAGCCCUCUCAUUUCAUCAUUUCACAAUGUUCCCAGAGAGAAACUUCCCUUGUCUUUGGCAACAUGAGAAAAUCAAGGACAAGUCAGUGAGUUUUUCCUUUAAGUUCACUUUUUUUUUUUUUCAAGCUGCAAAGACUAUCUUUUGUUCAGAUUUUUGGCCUUCUUCCAUUUUUAGCAUGAAGUGUGUUCUGCCUUUGAUGACAGAAUAGUGACGAUGGGCAAGCCACCGCUUCGUUGCUUGCUUGUGUUUCAGUGUCCUUAGGUGGCAAAAUAGAACGCUGGAAUCCUUAUGUAAGCUCCAGAUUACUGGAAACUUCCCUCGUCUAUGAAAUCUCAAAGUCUGGGAACCACUGCUGUGGAAUUUACAAAACAUUUUCAGGCACAUAAUCUCACUCAUUUCCCAUUUGACAGGUAGUGACAGAUAAUAAGGCUCCAGGAUAUUUUUUUUGACUUGGCCAAGGUCACAUGGCUGGGAAACAGGGAAGGCAGGACUUCCCAUCGAAAGCCACGCCUGCUUACCACGAGGAAUAACUGAGACUCUUUUCUCUAGCACGGGAAUCUCACACUGAGUCCCCCAUUUCAGAGCAGCCGUCAGUCUAAAAUGGGUCUGUCUUCUCCUCCUGUAGGAGUACAGUGUGUGCUGUUCUCAACGAACGCCCCCCUCCCAGCACCCUUUAGGUGCUGUGGAUGCCCCUGAAACAAGGCCUCAGACUUGGCUUGGACUAUGGGUUCCAUCCAUAGGGUUGGCCUCAUUGAUCAGCGUUACAGGAAGGCUUCGAGGUGGCUCCCUGUGACCGUGUUGUGAGCAAACCAUUCCUGGCAUCCCACCUUGCAGGUGAGGAGACUGCCUCCUAGCCGUGAACUUGUGGAGAAGAAACAAAAAUAACCCAUAAUCCCACUGUUUUGAUGCCACUUACUGAUAUUUGAAAAGAGGUAAAAAUAAAAUAUGAAGACAGAAAAUCCCAUCAUGUAUCCAAAGGCAUGAAUGAAAAGAAAGAGCCUUCUACCAGGACCUCCUGCACCACCCAAGAGUGCCAUUUUCUCAGGGGCUGAGAAGAGCCCCUCCAACAGGGCAGUGACCCGCUUGCCACAACCCACCUUGGCAAAAGCAGUGGAUAUGCCCCAGGACUCCAGGAAGCAGUGUGGCCUCAGAGAGCUUGGUGAGAAAUGUGUGUGGGAAGCAAAGGGCAGCUGAUGACUCACUGCAUGCCCUUAACUCAGUCUCUUCGACUCCUGAAGCCUCAGUUUCCCCACCUGGGGUAUGGUGAUAAUCACCCACUCAGCCACGAUGCUGGGGAGUGCUAACAGUGCCUCCUGCAGCCACCUCCCAGAUAAACCACCAGUACUCCCAUCCUUGUUGGAGGGCCUGUUUUUAGGAAAACCCUGACUAAGGCAGGAAGCUCCCCGCACUGCAGCAGAGGGAGUCAGGAUGCUGAGCUCUGGGUGCCCCAGCUGUCUGGCUCACCAGCCAUGAGAUGCCAGGGAAUAAGGGAACCCGAGGAGAAGGAGAGAGAUGAGGGACCAGCUCCUCGGUGGAGGACGCAGAAUACACACAUUUAUUGAUGAGGUUUGCCAUCUUUUAUGGGCACAGUUUGUGGCACCACAAAACAAUUACAAUGGUGACUUUGAAGAUUAUUGAUCACAGAUCACCAUAACAGAUAUAAUGAUGAAAAGGUUUGAAAUAUUGUGAAAAUUAUCAGAAUAUAACAACAAGACACAAAGUGGGCACAUGCUGUUGGAAAAAUGAUGCUGAUAGACUCGCUUGACACGGGGUUGCCAGAAACCUUUAAUUUUUUUUUUUAAAUGCAAUAUUUGUGAAGCACACUAAAAUUAGGUGUGCCUGGGUAUUAUUUAGCUCUGCCUGAGUUUUGAACUUUAUAUAAUGGAGUCAUACUGUAUAUUUUCUUCUGUGCCUUGCUUCUUUUGCUCAAGAAUAUAUUUGUUGGAUUCAUCUAUUUUUAAUGUGAGUGUUUGUGGUUCAUUCAUUCUCACUUCUAAAUAAUACUCCAGUGUAUGAAUAUGCUGCAAUUUAUUUGCCCAGCCUACUGCUGGUGGAAAUUUGGGGUUUGAGCUAUUAUGAAUAUUGCUGUGAAUAUGGAUUUAUGAAACUCAAGGUUUGCUACUCCAAGUGUAGCCCUCAGAACAGUGGCAGAUUUUCAGGGUCCUAUCCCAGAUCUACUGAAUUAGAAUUUGCAUAUUAGCAAAAUUGUAUGCAUGCUAGAGUUUGAUAAGCACUGCUCUAUGUACCUAGGUUUACACUGAGAAGUAGAGUUGUUGAUCCUAAGGUAACCAUGCAUUAAAUCUUACAAUGAACAGGCAAACUGUUUUCCAAAAUGGUUAUGCCCAUUCCCACUCUACCCUAGUGAAGGACCAGAGUUUCUGUUGGCCCACAUUUCAUCAUCUCUUGGUAUUGACAAACUUUUACAUUUUACCAACCUGGUAAGUAUGAGAUGGUAUCUCUGUAGGAUUUUGCUUUUCAUUUUCCUUAUUACAGACAUGUCCCAAAGGAUACCACUGUGAUCUAAGCAGGCCACGCUUGGAGUAGCAGCCGGGAGCCACAGCUUUUCAUAUGGUGAAGGGCCAUUUUGCUUUCUUUUCUAGCAAAUGCCUAUUUAUGUUUUUGCUCAUUUUUCUGUUGGGUUUAUUUCUAAUGGGUUCAUGAAUUUUUUUUUUUUUUUUUUUUUUUUGAGACAGGGUCUCACUAUGUCAUCUAGGCUGGAGUACAGUGACGUGAUCACUGCUCACUGCAGCCUUGACAUCCUGGGGCCAAGCAAUCCUCCCUCCUCAGCCUCCUGAGUAGCUGGGACUACAGGCAUGUGCCACAAAGCCCGGCUAAUUUUUUUAUUUUUUG